rnacentral:rRNA from 1 species
AGAAAACGUAGGAACCUUGCUGAAAAGUGGGGGUGGCUCUUCGGAGAACCUGCGGUUAGGGUGCUGCAUGGCUGUCGUCAGCUCGUGUCGUGAGAUGUUGGGUUAAGUCCCGCAACGAGCGCAACCCUUGUCGUUAGUUGCCAGCGGUUCGGCCGGGCACUCUAACGAGACUGCCAGCAAUGGAGGAAGGUGGGGACGACGUCAAGUCAUCAUGGCCCUUAUGUCCAGGGCUACACACGUGCUACAAUGGUCGGUACAAACAGAUGCAAACUCGCGAGAGGAAGCCAACCUGAAAAAACCGACCUCAGUACAGAUAAGAGUCUGCAACUCGACUCUUUGAAGUCGGAAUCGCUAGUAAUCCCUGAUCAGCAGGCAGGGGGUGAAUACGUUCCCGGGCCUUGUACACACCGCCCGUCACACCAUGGGAGUCGUUUGCUCCAGAAGUACCUGCG